rnacentral:lncRNA from 1 species
CGACCUUAUGUGUGGCGCCUCUCCGAACUCCCUCGACCGUCCGGACUUCUCUGACAAUGAGUUCCUCCAUUCGUCUACCAGGCCGCCCCAAAAGCUCUCCGAGCCUCGCUGCCAGUCGACCUCCUACAGCAGCCAACCAUUCCCCGGGUCUCUCCCAGACUUCUUAUGGCCACGGAUGACCCUACUUUGAACUUCUUCCAGGCUUCAUCAGCAUCCGAGCUUCCCCGACAAUGAGAUUUC